CGAGGGUGCAAGCGUUAAUCGGAAUUACUGGGCGUAAAGCGAGUGUAGGCGGCUACUUAAGUCGGAUGUGAAAGCCCUGGGCUCAACCUGGGAAUGGCAUUCGAUACUGGGUAACUAGAGUUUGGUAGAGGUAAGUGGAAUUCCGGGUGUAGCGGUGAAAUGCGUAGAUAUCCGGAGGAACAUCAGUGGCGAAGGCGGCUUACUGGACCAAAACUGACGCUGAGGCUCGAAAGCGUGGGGAGCAAACAGGAUUAGAUACCCGAGUAGUCC
rnacentral:rRNA from 1 species